GACGAACGCUGGCGGCGUGCUUAACACAUGCAAGUCGAACGGAAAGGCCCUGCUUUUGUGGGGUGCUCGAGUGGCGAACGGGUGAGUAACACGUGAGUAACCUGCCCUUGACUUUGGGAUAACUUCAGGAAACUGGGGCUAAUACCGGAUAGGAGCUCCUGCUGCAUGGUGGGGGUUGGAAAGUUUCGGCGGUUGGGGAUGGACUCGCGGCUUAUCAGCUUGUUGGUGGGGUAGUGGCUUACCAAGGCUUUGACGGGUAGCCGGCCUGAGAGGGUGACCGGCCACAUGGGGACUGAGAUACGGCCAGACUCCUACGGGAGGCAGCGGUGGGGAAUAUUGCACAAUGGGCGGAAGCCUGAUGCAGCAACGCCGCGUGCGGGAUGACGGCCUUCGGGUUGUAAACCGCUUUCGCCUGUGACGAAGCGUGAGUGACGGUAAUGGGUAAAGAAGCACCGGCUAACUACGUG
rnacentral:rRNA from 1 species